AUUCAGAAUAUUCUGAUAAUUUUAUUAUUGUGGUAUGUUAUAGGAAAAAUAAUUUUAAGGAAUAUGAUUAAGUAAUUAGUAAAGAAAUAUUGAUUUUACGAUAGGAAAAAAGUACUGAAAAGGAAAUAUGAAAUAGGCUGAAAAUUUAAUUUUAAGGAAGCAGAUAUUAAAAAUCGUACCUUGUGUAUCAGGGGUUAAUUAAUAAAAUAAAUAGAUAUAUAAUUCCCAAAAGAGAAAGAUCUAGGCUUUUAUAAUUAUUUCUGUGUCAUUAUAAUUUUAAAUAGGAGACUAGUAGUGAAAUAUUAAUCGGUUUCUCUUAUAUUUGGUUUCUUAAGAAUUAAAUUUAAUUUAGGCUUGCUUUUAUUUAAGAAUUAAUUGAAUAAUUUGAUUAAAUAAGGUUGGUUUUAGGAUUAGAGGGAUUAGCUUUUAAUUCAACUAAAUUUUAGUAUAAUUUACUAAAUAAUUAAAAUGUUUAUACGCUUAGAAAUAGCAAUUAGUAAAAAUAAUGUUAUAAUUUGCAUUUUGGAUAUAAUUAUUUUGUAUAGAUUUACUUGAUUUAUUAAGAUAAAAUCUAAAAUUAAUUUGGGUUAGUAGUAAUAUUAUUAUGAGUAGAAUAAAAUUUUAGAUUUUUUUAAGUUUAAAUAUAACAAAGGAACUCGGCAAAUAUAUUUUUCGCCUGUUUAUCAAAAACAUCUCCUUAAGAUUUAAUUUAAGGUAUAACCUGCUCUAUGAAUAUUUUUAAAUGGCCGCGGUAUUUUGACCGUGCGAAGGUAGCAUAAUCAUUAGUCUUUUAAUUGGAGGCUGGUAUGAAUGGUUGGACGAGAGAAUUUCUGUCUCUGUUAUAAAAUUUGAAUUUUAUUUUUAAGUGAAAAAGCUUAAAUUCUUUUGAGGGACGAUAAGACCCUUUGGAUCUUUAUAAUAAUGAAUAAUAAAAAGGUUUGAUGUGACAGCUUAUUGUUUUAAAUUAUUGGGUUGGGGCGACCGGAAGAAAAAAAUAUCUCUUCUUAAAUAAUAUACUAAUUUAUAGAAUUAAGAUGACCCUGAAUUUUGGUUUAAAAGACUAAGUUACCCUAGGGAUAACAGCGUAAUCUUUUUGGAGAGUUCAUAUCGAUGAAAAGGUUUGCGACCUCGAUGUUGGAUUAAGAGAUCCUUAUGGCGCAGCCGUUAUAAAGGAAAGUCUGUUCGACUUUUAAAUUCUUACAUGAUCUGAGUUCAAACCGGCGUAAGCCAGGUUGGUUUCUAUCUUCAAAUUUUUUAUUUCAUUUUAGUACGAAAGGAUUAAAUGAAAAAACUAUGUUUAAUUUAAGACAAAAAUUAAUUAUCAUUU
rnacentral:rRNA from 1 species